ACGCCAGGGCUUCAAAGGAACUGACAUUUUGCGUGCUUGCACGCAUAAAUGGCUGGACUUGGAAGCCGCCAAACAUGAGGAAGCAGUAAUUUUCGCAGAAAAUUUACGGAUUCCGAAUGUUUGCAGAAUCACGGGAAUUGCGAAGCAAUGGAGUGGUUCGU
rnacentral:sRNA from 1 species